rnacentral:lncRNA from 1 species
AAAUAUAAUAGAAAGAAAGGGAAAGAAGAGCCCUAGCACAGCCGGCCCAAGUUUGCAAUUCAAAUUCUCCUCUUGUCAAAUCUCACUUCGGCGGGCUGCUAACCAUAUUUGUAUCAAACUUGUAUAAACAUAAAUAUAAAAGAAAGAAAUAGAUUCAGUAUCCCAUUUUCACUUGAACUUCUUAAUCAUAAACAUUUGUAUCAAACUUGGCGCCUCUAGUUCUUGUAGGCAGCCCCACCACGCACCACCGUCCGUAUCCUAAAAUCGUUCACCAUCAUUUGAGGCUAUUUAAUAUGUCAUGAUUCUCAGUGGGUCUCAAAGCAAUUCUAUUAGUAGUCAUUGAAAUUUUAAAAAAUUGUAUUUUUUUUCUUAAGUUUUUAGAAACUUCAAGGAUUU